GUUCUCUCCAGUUGGACUUGUUUGGACUUGAUCAAAUCUUAGAAACUUUGAAUCGAUUCGAACCAGUUUUACGUUGCAUUAAAGUUUCGUGUGGAUUUUGGCCGGUUGAUUGCCUUCGUGAUGGUGGAGGAGGAGGAGAACGGGUCCCAUCGUUGCUCCAGCGGGCCUUGCCGGAAGACGGGAGGGAAAGGAAACGGUCUGCGAUCGAGGAAGCGGAUUGGCGUUUAACUCUCCGCUGGAGGUGGCGGUGCGUGCCAUACCCAAGGAGGCAGAGGAUCAAACGGCAUGUAAUGGAUGAGGCGGCGUUUCUGAUCCGCCGGAGGUUUUUAUACGGUAACCAACAAUAUUCCAAUCGGAUCCUGCUGACAACCCAGCGUCUCCGUUUUGUCCCACGGAACGGAAGCUGUAACGAUCGCAAAAACACCUGCACCGGACACUUCCGGUAAACUGAUGUUGUCCCGUACUCCGGUGGCCAUCAAUCCGUGGGAAAUAAACGGAAGCAAACUCGAAAAGAUGGCUGACAAAGUCCGGCCAAGAUCCCGAAGUGACGAGAUGUGCUGAAAGGCCAACCGGAAGACAACGCCAAAAAACCACUUAAAGAUCGCGAUACACAACAUCUAAAAUUAAUGAAUGUAUAUGAAAUUUAGGGAAAAAGUUUAAUUUACAGAAAAUAUA